AUGCAUAAAUUAUUUAUCAUCAUUGCUUUUUUUAGAAUCAUUAUUUAUCAUUGCUAUGAUGUUUAUAUUAAGGGGCCUCAAAUUUUACGUUCGCCGGGCCCUCAAAAUCUCAGGACCGGCACUGUGUGCUUCGUCGCUGGAUGGCACCGCUGCCGAUUCUGGCCGCCACGGGUCACUCUGCUCCCCAAAUCUGUCCCCAUUUCUGUCGUUCGUCGUGCCACAUCCCCGCACCGCACGAAUCCGGCCGCCACCAUCGGCUUCCGCCCAUCGUCGCCGGAUCCAUCAUCCCCGCCACUAGAUAUGUCCAUUUCGGUCGUGGGGCGUCCGUUUCGUCCAUUGCCGCCAUCGGCGCUUGUUUCGUCCGCCGCAGUCGAGCUUAGCUUCUCCACCAGUCAUUUUGUUUGUCGCCACCGGGCUUCUCCGCUGCCUCCCGUCGAAGAUGUUGUCGCACUAGCCAUCGCGAGCGCCAUGCCGUACCGUGGUGUUCGUCAUCGGCGUCGGGCCACUUCGCCGCCGAGAUCACCUGAGUGGCUCAGCACCUUUGAGACCGAGGAGCUCGCGGUGCUCGCGUAUGAUGCAGUGGCAGUUCGAUACGAUCGGAGCUUGGCCGAGCUCAAUUUCCCCGAGGUGGCUGGCCAUACAGAUUCCUCACCCCUUCCAUGGUCUAGUGCGGAGAAGGCACGUAGAGUCGAGGCCACUUAUUAG
rnacentral:rRNA from 1 species